GAGAGAGACAGAGAGAGAG
rnacentral:miRNA from 1 species